AGUUAACCAGCCAAGCAGGCAACCCAGUCAUUGUAUAGCCUGACUGACCGAGCAAACGGAGAUAGUUGUGCAGUGCCCAACAAAGUAGAACUUGUGAUUUGUUGAUUUGUUCUAUAGAUUCGCUCAAGAAUGAUGAGAAUAGUGCGUGCAUAGAUGUGGAGGGUUUGGAAAUAGUGCUGUGGAAAUAAUGAUGGAGUAGAUGCAUUGCAAUGAGAUCGGCCUUUCGUUCCUACCACAAUUGCUGUCGGGUCCAUAAGGAGCCCGCGGCGCGAGGAUCAUGCGGCCAGCGAUGGGAGGGCCGACAUGUCGUCGGUGGAUAAUUCUGCGUCUGUCCAAGCGGGCCCGCUAAAACCAACCGCCGUGGGAUACACCUAUAUACUUACGCUCACACAACACUAGGAAUAAGUAUCUAACCAGUAACGUAAGUAAUAAAACCUUCUACUAAUUAUUUGAAUGUGAA